GAUUAACGCUGGCGGCGUGCAUAACACAUGCAAGUCGAACGAUGAAACUUUAAUGAACCCUUCGGGGAGAAUUAAAGCGGAUUAGUGGCGAACGGGUGAGUAACGCGUGAGUAACCUGCCUUACACAAGGGGAUAGCCUUUGGAAACGAAGAAUAAUACCCUAUAAAACCAUAAAAGCACAUGCAAUUAUGGUCAAAGUGAUAGCGGUGUAAGAUGGACUUGCGUCUGAUUAGCUAGUUGGUGAGAUAAAAGCCCACCAAGGCAACGAUCAGUAGCCGGCUUGAGAGAAUGUACGGCCACAUUGGGACUGAGACACGGCCCAGACUCCUACGGGAGGCAGCAGUGGGGAAUUUUGCACAAUGGGGGAAACCCUGAUGCAGCGACGCCGCGUGAUUUAGAAGGCCUUCGGGUUGUAAAAAUCUUUUGUAUAGGAAGAAAAUGACAGUACUAUACGAAUAAGGUCCGGCUAAUUACGUG
rnacentral:rRNA from 1 species